AAAUUCUCCACCCUUCCUCUGGUACUCGGGGGAACACUUAUGACAAUGAUGAAGGCUUGCCGAGGAAGUUUGCUAGCUUCAAAAGGAGAGUCUUGGAAUCCGUGGAGCUGCAUGGGAAUGGUUUGCUUGCUACCUGGAAGCUUGCCCAUAUCAGCUAACAUGGAGAUACCACGGCUUCUGCUUGGAUCUCGGUGUGUCUGGCAUACAUUUCAUCAUGGAUGAUGGCUCAUCAGCUGAAACUCCCAGCAAAACCCAGGUGAUUCAUCCCCAGAUAAGGAUAUUGUGAUAUCCCUGGACAACUCUCUGAUCUUCCAAAUUCGGCCACUGCUCGCAAUCUUGGGGUAGCCAUGGACAUUCAACUGUCCUUUUUCUGAAACACUUUCGUCUUUAACACAUCAGAAGGAUUUAAUCCA